UACAGAUUGUGGUAGCGUUAAUCGGAAUUACUGGGCGUAAAGCGCGCGUAGGUGGUUGGUUAAGUUGGAUGUGAAAGCACCGGGCUCAACCUGGGAACUGCAUCCAAAACUGGCCGGCUAGAGUACGGUAGAGGGUGGUGGAAUUUCCUGUGUAGCGGUGAAAUGCGUAGAUAUAGGAAGGAACACCAGUGGCGAAGGCGACCACCUGGACUGAUACUGACACUGAGGUGCGAAAGCGUGGGGAGCAAACAGG
rnacentral:misc_RNA from 1 species